UUGUCUCCCCAGAUACAGCACUAGAGCAGGGAAGACAAAGAGGAUUUUUCCAUCUUUCUGGCAAGCCAAUUUUGAGGAGGGUUAUGUAGUUGCAUUCUGUCUUCUAAAUCAGGUCGAUUACAACACUUUGUGGACAAGCGGAGAGCUGCUUUUUGAGCUAAAGGGACAAAUUUAUCAGGGAUAGUAUUCUUAGAUUGCUAAAAUAAGAUAACAUUGUUGCCUCAGUUAUUGGUGACUGGUUUCUUACAGCGGUUGGGGAGGCUUGGUCAAGGCAUUGAUCAUGUGAGACAUAAAGUAAUAAUACACAAAAGGGGUAAUCGGGAAGCACCAUAUAUAGAUUAAUAAAUACAAGUUAAGGUUGAUUGCUGGGAAGUUCUGCGAGGCCCUGCACCCUAAAAUAGCCGGGAACUUGCACUAAAAUGUUAAAUGACCGGACAUCGGCAUCCCAGCUAGGGGGCCCGUUUUACAACUGGUGCGUGGGCGAAGUUUACGAUAGGCAGGGCUUACGUCUGAGGAUAAGAGACAGAGGUCAGGAGGGUUGCAACUCAGAGACAACUGUAAAUAGGAAGAAAAGAACAAAGGGUAGUUAGACUUAAAAAUCUUCCACUGACUUAAUUGAACAAGCUAGAAAGUAAGCGGAUAUAAACCAAAGUUAGAAGCUAUGACAGAAAACGCCGUUUACUGAACAGGUGACUAUGGGAGACUCGGUCGUGCUAGCGUGACCUUAUUGACAAGUGAGAACCCAGUGUGUCCCCUCUCAUAUGCUGUUAGAGCUGCGGGUCGGUCGCCGGUUUCGGCUGUUCAGUUUAUCCACAAUAACAAAGACAUAAGCAAUGCCGUGAAGCAAGCAAGGGGGUGCCACUGUUAUUAUUUGUCACGAGAGACUGAGAAAGACUCUUCAACCUGACGAUUGCAUCUAUAUGAAGGAUGUUUCUCAUGACAAAAAGAGAGCCAAGGAAAGGACUUGGUGGUGGAGACGGAAAAAAGCUGGAAAGACAAAGAGCAGCUGAAUGGUCCUGUGUCUCCACGUUUACCAAGCGAAUUGGAACAAUAUGAUGAAAAGUCUGUUUCAGUGGGGGACAAAGUGGACACAUUUCAAAGCCAUCAAUGAUGCUGAGGGACGAAGGUCGGAGUCGGUCGGUGAUCAGUGGCUCGUCGGAAGAUGGUGGGGACACACUUGAGGAAUUAUGGAGUCCACCCCCUUGGCAGGAGCAUCUUUUGCAGAGCCUCUAGGAACUUUGCUGUGCUGACUCCCACCAGUAACAUCUACUGCCGGCGGACCUGAGACAGCUGUCGAAGAAGGGUGCCCGGGUAAAGUGGACACAUUGAUUCAUAAUGUAUCCGAACGGGAGGUUAGUAUUCCAAUUCUGAACUUUGAUUCAACACUGUACUGUUAUUGGAGGUUGCUAGUUUAUGCAGGUUCAUCACAGGAAGUUGGAUGGAGGAGAGCUUAGGAAGAUAUGGUGCAUGCAUGACUGGUGGGAUACAGAGUAUGACCAAUAUCGGAAUGUCUAAUGCAAUACUGUCGAGGGAGUUCACAUGAUAUGGUAGUAAGUACCUUAGCGUGACACUGACGGUGAGUAUGAUAUGAUUGAGGGGUAAUGAGUAAUACGAAACAUCUAUUGACACCCCUCCAGAGGUUAUGAUUCGUCAAGUGGCAGAUAUAUGGGUUUUGGCAUGAACAAUAAAUAUAGAGUAACUAUGGUAUAAUGAGAUAUUAGAGUCUGGGGGCUAAUAUGGACUUGAUGACGCAAUCGGUUACGAACUAGGGUCUCUACGAGGUACGGAACUAAAAGGGGAGUGAUGUGAAAAUUAACGCAAAUUUAAAUUACAGGACGACUGAGGGGUAAGAUAUUGCAAGCCGCUGCGGGUGGUUAGGGGUGCGUGCCAAGAAUCCACCGAAUUGGGGAGGAAUCAGGAGGGUCUCAUAGGGGCACCCCCAUCCCUUUUUGGGUCAGUUAAGUCAGGAGGCGCAUGGGCUAGCCCAUGACGCAAGGGGGGUGUAAAGCGGAAAAUUAGGAAAGAAUAGGGGUUUGGGCACCUGUUAAAUAAAUUGUAGAAAUUAUCAUAGUUUAGCUUAGCUUUCAUUAAUAUUAUGGACAAUUUUGAUGGAAAGAAUUGCGCAACAAAGAAGUCUGCAGAAGAAUAAACCUAGGGUAAUACUAGUCAAAGGGACGACGGAGUCUUGUACGUACUUAAAUUCCGUGUUUCCGUGGGUUUGUAAAAACGUUAUUAGUAUCGUGUGAAUGUGUAGAAGUGUGAAUGUAUAAGACAGGAUUGCAAAUUACAACUGGGUUUGGAAGCAGGUGCAAGAAUCCUCCGUCCCGUGGGGGUAAAAGUUUGAAGGUUACCAAGCCCCAGACAUUCAUUGUCACCCUGUCAUUUUGAAUAGUCAGUAUUAAGGUCACUCUCGGUGCAAAUAAAUUGACUUCCAAAUUCACAAAAUAAGGAAAAAUAACAGUAAACCGGAUUCAAGAGAACGCUUCACGUGUAAAGACUGGAAAUAUGUUCAACUCCAAACCCCUUACAAAAUGAAACAUUUAAACACAUGGAUAACCAAAUACGAUGUCGCGGGCCAGCUAAAUUUGAAAAAUUGGUUCAACGUCGAGACGAAAUAAAAGUCGACAUAAAAAUAAUAGAAAAAUGGAUAAAAGAGGGAUAUGAUGACAUAGUUGUCUGGCUAAACAUGGUGUCUAAAAUAGAAAAAGGAAGUAAAGAAACGAAGGACUUAGAAAAUGGACGGAAAAGGCCUUCAGGGACAUUAAACAACAUUUGGUGUCCAGGAAAGUGCUGGCCCUUCCAAAGUAUGAUAAAACAUUCAUUCAAAUGGUAGAGUGGAAAAGCUAUUACAAGACCUCCGUACUUACGCAACAAUGAAGUGAUAAACUAAGACCAAGAGCUUAUUUUUUGACUAAAAUAGACAGAGUGAUGUGAUAAUGGGCGGCAUGGUGGCCGACUGGUUAGAGCGUCAGCCUCACAGUUCUGAGGACCGGGGUUCAAUCCCCGGCCCCGCCUGUGUGGAGUUUGCAUGUUCUCCCCGUGCCUCCGUGGCUUUUCUCCGGGCACUCCGGUUUCUUCCCACAUCCCAAAAACAUGCAUUAAUUGGAGACUCUAAAUUGCCCGUAGGUGUGACUGUGAGUGCGACUGGUUGUUUGUUUGUAUGUGCCCUGCGAUUGGCUUGCAACCAGUUCAGGGUGUACCCCGCCUCCUGCCCGAUGACAGCUGGGAUAGACUCCAGCACGCCCGCGACCCGCGUGAGGAGAAGUGACUCAGAAGAUGAACGGAUGGAUGGACUUGGUGGAGGAAGUUAGGUCAUUUUCUUGGCUCAGAUUCCUUCAUGCAAGGGUGUUACAAAACAAAUUAAUAUCCAGCGAUGGUAAGCGUCGGAGUCAUGUCCGCAGGGGUUUGGAGACAUACAGCGAUGCAAGGGGGGUAUUAUCACUUACGGAUUAAGCAACGGCCACUACCAUGCCUGCCUCAGAUGUGUAGAACUGACUGCCCUCCAUAUAUUGUACUGUUAGAUAUCCAUUUGAAAAUGGGUUGGAUUAAGUUUGAUUUUGUUGCAAAAUACUGGCAGAUGUUUUUGUUCUUCCAGGGGUGGUCUGGAGCUGUUCAGGGUCCCGUGUGUAUAAACCUGAACUCUGGGACUAAUUCAUGGUGGACAGCGGCCCGGGGCUGCAGGGGUUACAGUUUCUUCAUCAAUGACACGAGCUGUAGACCAUAUGGAGGGAGACCACCUUUAAGAUUUUUAUUUUUAUUUCGUGUGUAUUUUGAUAUGUGUGCUUCCACAGUUCUUUUUUGUGUUUUACGCUGUUUUUUGUUCAUUUAUUUCAAUGUUUGUAUUAUUCUGUUGUGUAUGGUUUGCCAUCCGAGUCAAGGCCCCUUUGGGUGUUUUGAUGUACGGGGCUCUGAAGGACACGUGACACGACUCUCGCUCUUUUCCUCGUCUCGUUUUGAGAAAGGUUUUUCGACCGAGAGCCGCGAAACCUUGACGCUUCCACGAGGCUGCGCGUACAAAUUGAUAAAUUUGGGAUUGGCUCCGUUUCGAUAUCGGGGAGGAGAUUUGGUUUGUUUGGCUGUUUGGUACGCACGUGUGACCUCGGGGGGCGAAGAGGAGACGCAGGGAGUGAUUCGGCCUUAUUAGAAUAAUUAUUUUUCCUAGUAAAUGGUUAACCAUAAGUAAAUGCCUUGGAGCAUGAUAUAUUUUCUUGACCAAGUAGAUUUGUUCAAAUUGUAGAUAAUUAGUUAACUUUUUGGGCUAACGCCGGUUUGUUGGUUCUGGCCAGGUGUCAUUUGGUAACUCUAGGUUUGUAAUGAGUUUGGGGAUCUCAUUAAAGGGGGGUUAUGUAGUAUAUUUUCAUAGUAACACAAUCAGAGUUCCUUCGGGAAGGACAAAUGUUUGGAGACCUGUGUUCCCACCAACUGUCUUUUCUUUGUACUUCUACAUCAAAGAACAUCCUUUAACCAGUUAUAUGUUGAUUGGGGGGUCUUGCAUCCCCCUGACAGAAACCUGUCGGGGGUUUACAACCGGUCCUGGUCUUCAAAGAGGACUGUUUGGCAUUAUCGUAACAAAGGACCCCCGGGGGUAAGAUUGACCAGGCUGAGAGACGACAGCAGAGGAGUAGUGGUAUUUCACACACCCAAAGAGACACCAGCUGGCAGGUACGAUUCCAAAUAUGGUCAUGAGGAGCAGCAUCUUUCCGGAUGCAACGAGGGAGGGGGCUAAGUCCACGCCCAGAGAAUUAGAACCUUGAUAAACUGAGAUCCCAGGGUUUUCGGGGGCUUUUUCGUCGUUCUGACAAUGCAGCAGCUGCUAUGACACUAAGGCCUGUUCAAUAAAUCGAAUUAGCCCAAAU